ACUCGGAAACGGCGGCGGAUACUAUCCGGCUCGAGGGUUGGAAGGGGGACUGGAAUUCUCGGUGUAGCAGUGAAAUGCGUAGAUAUCGAGAGGAACACCAGUGGCGAAGGCGAGUCCCUGGACAACCCCUGACGCUGAGGCACGAAAGCUAGGGGAGCAAACAGGAUUAGAUACCCUGGUAGUCCUAGCCGUAAACGGUGCACGUUUGCUGUAAGCGGAUUCGACCCCGCUUGUGGCGAAGCUAACGCGUUAAACGUGCCGUCUGGGAAGUACGGUCGCAAGAUUAAAACUCAAAGAAAUUGACGGGGGCCUGCACAAGCGGUGGAGUAUGUGGCUCAAUUCGAUGCAACGCGAAGAACCUUACCUGGCCUUGACAUGUGGGUAGUAGAAGGGUGAAAGCCCGACGAGGUA
rnacentral:rRNA from 1 species